CUGAACUUUGUGGGAAUCCGAAUCCAAAUUGGGGAAAAAACUGAUUAAAUCACUGUGUAGAAUCUACUCUCCAUUUAUAAAUAUCUGAAUCAGGUAGGGGACUCUUAUUUUGUAAUGAGAAAGUGAAAGUAAAUUCUGUGCUGGGUGCGGCAGGCGUUCUGGGCUGAGUUCUGCUGCAGGAGCUGUUAGUCUUUGGUUCGGUUGUUUUGUAUAUAAAAAGUAUCUGGGUUCUGGUUCUGGUUCUGAGGGCUGGAUCAGUCUGUCCGGUUCUGAAAGGAAGGAGGAAGAUUGGCCGGGUUUAGAGUGUCCUGUCUGUGAGAUAUCCCGACUGCAGAAAAUGGAGGAGAGAGAAAAGCGUUUAGCAGAAAGAGAAAAACACCUGGAUCAGAGAGAACUACAUUUAACUGAGAAGGAAAAACAUCUGGAUGAACGAGAGACUCGAUUAGAAGAGAUAUGGAAGCAGCUGAAGGAAAGAGAGAUUAGAUUAAAUGAGAGAGAGGAGCGUUUAGAAGGAGGAGAAAAAACCCUAGAUCAGAGUUUGUUUGAGGAACAACACUUUCGAUUAUCCAAUCGAGAUUUUCGACUGGGGAUGAGAGAAAAACGUCUGAGCCUGAGAGAGAGCGUCGCUGUGCCGAGACGCCCGCUGUACCUGGAAGAGGAGCUGAGAGGACUGGAACUGGAAAGGAAAGCAAAAGAACUGAAAGAACUGCAUAAACUGACAAAAAGUUUUCCAGCAAGAGAAGAAACUUGCAUUAGAGUAUCAGGAUUUCCACCUGUCCCACCCCGUACCACAAGAAGAAAAAGCAUCGACAUUCCCCCGUACUUGGAAGGAGAAACGAGUUCACAUCCGAAACAACCUGUAGCCGAGACUAAAACUGAACCUGUAGCCGAGACUAAAACUGAACCUGGAGCUGAGAUUAAAUCUGAACCUGCAGCCUACAGUGGAAGGAGAAAAGGGUCCACACCCAGAACAACCUGCACCUGCAGCUGAGACUAAAACUGACCCUGCAGCUGAUCCUAAACUAAACAUGCAGCUGAGACUAAAACUGACCCUGCAGCUGAGACUAAAACUGAAUCAUGCAGCUGAGACUAAAACUGAACCUGUAACUGAGACUAAAACUGAAACUGCAGCUGAAACUAAAACUGAACCUACAGCUGAUCCUAAAACUGGAUCAUGCAGCUGAGACUAAAACUGAAACUGCAGCCAAGACUAAAAUUGAACGUGCAACAGAGUUUAAAACUGAACCUGCAGCUGAGACUAAAACUGAACCUACAGCUAAGACUAAAACUGAACUGAAGAACCACAGGGCUAACCCUGCUAACUGAAGAACCACAGAGCUAACCCAGCUAACUGAAGACCCGCAGAGCUAAACCAGCUAACUGAAGACCCGCAGAGCUAAACCAGCUAACUGAAGAACCGCAGAG
rnacentral:lncRNA from 1 species